rnacentral:lncRNA from 1 species
CCGUUUUGAGGCGUUGGGGGGUUUCAAAACGCUGUCGUUUUGCAUAGCUAUUAAAGCCAAUUUUAUUUUUUAUUUUUUUCUUAAUUUCAACCCUCCCUUUUUAAUUUCUCUUCUCUGCUAGGGUUUAUAAAACCCAUCAUUGCACCGCGCCGGACCGCCGCUCCUCCACCGUGGACGGUGGACGGUGGUCGGAGAGGUGCAAAACGGUCCCUUUUGCCCUCGUUUUGACCAGAUCUAGAGGCCUAGCCUCUUGUUCGCGACAAAAACCGAAUAAAAUAAGACUCUUCGGUCCCUUUACCUAGUCGACGCAGUCGUCAAAGCCAAGGCCAAACCUUAAAAGGUUUUGGGGCCCUCGGCGCCGCGAAACACCCUCGGCGACGGAGGAGCGUGGGGCUACUCAGGUAAGUUUAUUUCUUUUCCUUUUUUAUUAAAAGAUUUGUGUUAAAAAAAUAACAAUAAAAGAAAUAAGAAAUGAAAAUAGAUAAUGAAAAUAUUAAAACCUCUUGAAACUUCUGUUAUGUUUUUUGAUUAAUAGUGUGUGUAAAAAAAUAACAAAGGGGAGAUUUCGACUUUUAAAGUCAUUUACAAGACGAAUCCAUCCUAUUUUUUUGUCGUUUUCUUCCUUGUCCUUGUUGUCUUUACUUCUUCUGCAGGUGUUAGAGGCGUGGGUGAGUGGUGGUGGCGUGCGAGAAAGGUUCUGCGCGAGAUGGCCAAUGGUUGGCCUAACAUGCGGCGGCUGAAGGCUUGGUGGCUAGGGUUUUUUUAUGUUUGCUGAAAAUGUUGAUAGCUAGUGGGCUAGGGUUAGUUUGGGCUUGUUGGGUUUGAAAUGGGUUUUAAUUGUUUGGGUUAUACAUAUGUUGUAAAUGGACUUAAAAAAUUGGACUUUAAUUGUUUAUUUGGGUUUUAUUUUUGUUUUAUUGGCCUGGGCCAAAAUUGGCUAUUACACAAAUCUUUGAAAAAAUUAGGAUUGAUUGUAUUUAUAUUCUUGAAUUUCAUGAAUAUUGAUUAGAAAUAUUUAACAUUUUUGUUUAGAAAUUGUUGCUGC